AGAGUUUGAUCCUGGCUCAGGAUGAACGCUGGCGGCGUGCCUAACACAUGCAAGUCGAACGGGCCGCGCCUGAAACCUAGUGAAGGCGCGGCCAGUGGCGGACGGGUGAGUAACGCGUGGGCAACCUGCCGCGCACAGGGGGACAACGGCCGGAAACGGCCGCUAAUACCGCAUAUUCCCGGGGGGCCGCAUGGCCCUGCGGGGAAAGCCCGGGGCGACCCGGACGGUGCGCGAUGGGCCCGCGUCCGAUUAGCUAGUUGGCGGGGCAGCGGCCCACCAAGGCGACGAUCGGUAGCCGGCCUGAGAGGGCGGACGGCCACACUGGGACUGAGACACGGCCCAGACUCCUGCGGGAGGCAGCAGUGGGGAAUAUUGCACAAUGGGGGGAACCCUGAUGCAGCGACGCCGCGUGGGUGAAGGAGCACCUCGGUGCGUAAAGCCCUAUCGGCAGGGAAAAAACAGACGGUACCUGACUAAGACGCCCCGGCUAACUACGUGCCACCAGCCGCGGUAAUACGUACGGGGCAAGCGUUAUCCUCAUUCACUGGGUGUAAAGGGAGCGUAGACGGC
rnacentral:rRNA from 1 species